UACAGAGGGUGCGAGCGUUAAUCGGAAUUACUGGGCGUAAAGCGUGCGCAGGCGGUUAUGUAAGACAGAUGUGAAAUGCCCGGGCUUAACCUGGGAACUGCAUUUGUGACUGCAUGGCUAGAGUUUGGCAGAGGGGGGUAGAAUUCCACGUGUAGCAGUGAAAUGCGUAGAUAUGGUGGAGGAACACCGAUGGCGAAGGCAGCCCCCUGGGUCAAGACUGACGCUCAUGC
rnacentral:rRNA from 1 species